UCCAGAUGUUAAUUUCUAAGAAUUGCUACCCCUCAUUAGAGGCAACAUUUCUACCCGGCAUUUGAAAGGAGAUCGAUAACAAAAGAAAGUAUUCAUCGAUGACCCUGCCUACUUUUUUUUUGUUAUCGGCGUUGAUGACCUCAGAGGAACCCAUCAGUUAUGCUCUGGUUACUGAACACACCUAAUGGUGUCACGGUGUUCCCAAAUUCAGGAAAUACUAUGAAUGUAAGGAGGAAUUUCGUCAUGCGUGAAUGCUUUUUCGUUCAAAGUCAGAAGUUAGCAAAGGAAAUCUCGUCAAUAGCAAUUCCACAACCUUGAAUUCCGGACUUCCAAAUUCCAGAAAGAAGAAGAAGAAGAUGCUUCAACAGCAGCUAAAGGAAAAAGCAUCUCGUCAUCAAGGGGGCCCCAAACGGAGCUGUGUGAAAACAUCGUGACCAGACAGAAAAAUAUGUGAAAGAAAAAACAUAUUCAUUUGAUUUGGCCUAACCGUUCGUAAGAAAAGAAAAAAGGAAAUGCAGCGAAGAAAUGUAUGUGUGUUGCUACAGUCUUUCUUGUACUAAGUAGACACUUCAAAGUUCUCUAGUGUUGGAACGUAAUUUUUUAGAGGCUAACAAAAAGUGGGGGUCAGAGGGCGCGAAAAGGCUUCUUUUUGGGGGCUGCCUUUCUCCUCUCUGCGGGAGGCUGCUGACGUCAUCUCACGCGUGAAAAAUCGGAUUCAAGCUGCGUUUUUCUUGAAAGCAUCACGUUUUUUUUUUUUCCGAAAUUACUCGUUUCUAUCGUUUGAUUGCAACUCG